rnacentral:rRNA from 1 species
CAGCCGCCGCGGUAAUACGUAGGUGGCAAGCGUUGUCCGGAAUUAUUGGGCGUAAAGGGCUCGCAGGCGGUUUCUUAAGUCUGAUGUGAAAGCCCCCGGCUCAACCGGGCAGGGUCAUUGGAAACUGGGAAACUUGAGUGCAGAAGAGGAGAGUGGAAUUCCACGUGCAGCGGUGAAAUGCGUAGAGAUGUGGAGGCACACCAGUGGCGAAGGCGACUCUCUGGUCUGUAACUAACGCUGAGGAGCGAAAGCGUGGGGAGCGAACAGGAUUAGAUACCCCGGUAGUCCCUGUCUCUUAUAC